UACGUAGGGGGCGAGCGUUGUCCGGAAUCAUUGGGCGUAAAGAGCGUGUAGGCGGCUUGGCAAGUCUGACGUGAAAGCCCGCGGCUCAACCGCGGAUUGUCGUUGGAAACUGCCUCGCUAGAGUCCGGAAGAGGAGAGCGGAAUUCCUGGUGUAGCGGUGGAAUGCGCAGAUAUCAGGAAGAACACCCGUGGCGACGGCGGCUCUCUGGGACGGUACUGACGCUGAGACGCGAAAGCGUGGGGAGCGAACAGG
rnacentral:rRNA from 1 species